AAUAGUCAUUUUGGACCCAAAAAUGGAUUUUUAGAUUUAAACGUAUUUAGAUAGCUUAUCCAUUUAUUUACUAGAAUAGAAUGUUCAAUUUUCUGAAAUAUUGCUUUAAAUUAUACUUUUUUUCAUUUUUAGGGUGCUUAUUAAUCAAGAUUUGAUUGAAAAACGUAAAAAUCCCCCAUAGUUACGCCUAUAAUAACUCUUUUGCAUAGCAAAUACUCUGGUCAUAUUUGGUAUCAAAUUGUUCGGCUUCAAAAGCACUUUUAAAAUUUGGCAACACUUCCUAAUCUAUUAUAAGAAGUUUUUAGCUAAAUUUAGAAACUUGCGUACUCUAUUUGGUAAGUUUUUCGUAUAAUUAUAGCCCACUCAUAAAUACUGAACGCUGAUUGGUUGCUUACCGGAAUACCCCUAGUGACUGUGUAUACGUCAGCUUAUCGAAAAUAGAAAAACAAACAUGCUGCCGUUUUCUCGUUGCAAACAAAACAGUUUCAGUAUCAUAAAAUAAACGUUUUUGUAUGUUUUAUUCUUGCUAUUCGGAAAUCUUCAUCAUGUUUGAAGUACUACUGGUAGCAGAAUGAAAUCCCUGCCUCCAACAUAAUACAAAGAUUGGUUUGAAUCUCACCAAGUUAAUUGUGAUAUCAACUAGAUCUAUUCUAUAAAGGAUUCAAGCAAUGGUGGCGACGCAUUCCGCUGAAAUAUUCUGGAAGAUAUUCAUCAACGAGUUUAACUGCGAUACACCACAGUGUUAUCCAAAUCUUUUAACAGAGUGUGUGGGAUUUAACCUUUUGAAGAUAUAAAAGUAACCUAAGAACAGUGCUACUCAAUUUACCAAAGGCUAUCAGAACAAGCAAAUUAUACAACGAUGUAAAUUUGGGGAAACUCAAAAUACGAUUACGUCGAUUCGCUCAUGAACUAGAAACUUUUGGACCAAAAUCUAGAUUUACUAAUCCAGAAAAAGAAAACUGUUCUAUUUUAGCGGCUGUGGGACAACUUAAUGUAAAUUUUUCUUUUGUCAGUGUAAUUAAAACUUUUUUUCAAUUAUUAGGCCAGCAAGAAAAACCAUCCACUUAGAUUAUCAAGCUUUCAGAAAAUCUUAAGAAAUGCAAUUUUAAAAAGUUAUAAAAAGAUUACUGUUGUUGAGAAAAGAUGCUAAAGCACACAUAGAAUUUCAGUUGAUAGAAGCAAAAGGAGUUUGUUAAUAUUCUGGAAAGUUUUAAAUCCAUUGUUUACAUUUUGAAUUUUUAGCUAUUUUUCUCAUAUUGCUAUCGACUUAUAUGAUCAUCUUAAAAGUACUAUAACUUAAAAACUUAUUGAUGAAAUGAUGUCAAAUUUUUUACAUUAUAAGACUAUAUUUAGUUAUCAAAGUGUGCAGUGUUAUUUAUUCAAAUAUAGUGAUUUUACAUAGUUUGACAAAUAAAUUUUAGUUUUAAAUCAA